AUUGAACGCUGGCGGCAUGCCUUACACAUGCAAGUCGAACGGCAGCACGGGGGCAACUCUGGUGGCGAGUGGCGAACGGGUGAGUAACAUAUCGGAACGUACCUAGGAGAGGGGGACAACGCCGCGAAAGCGGCGCUAAUACCGCAUACGAUCUAAGGAAGAAAGUGGGGGACCUGAGAGGGCCUCACGCUCAUAGAGCGGCCGAUAUCUGAUUAGCUAGUUGGUGGGGUAAAAGCCCACCAAGGCGACGAUCAGUAGCUGGUCUGAGAG
rnacentral:rRNA from 1 species